rnacentral:rRNA from 1 species
GAGUUUGAUCCUGGCUCAGGAUGAACGCUGGCGGUCUGCUUAACACAUGCAAGUCGAGCGGAAGUCAUCGGACUUUAGCGGCGGACGGGUGAGUAACGCGUGAGAAUCUGCCUUCAGGACGGGGACAACAGUUGGAAACGACUGCUAACACCGGAUGUGCCUACGGGUGAAAUAUUAAUAGCCUGAAGAUGAGCUCGCGUCAGAUUAGCUAGUUGGAGUGGUAACGGCACCCCAAGGCAAUGAUCUGUAGCUGGUCUGAGAGGAUGACCAGCCACACUGGGACUGAGACACGGCCCAGACUCCUACGGGAGGCAGCAGUGGGGAAUUUUCCGCAAUGGGCGCAAGCCUGACGGAGCAAGACCGCGUGGGGGAGGAAGGUUUGUGGACUGUAAACCCCUUUUAUCAGAGAAGAACACAAUGACGGUAUCUGAUGAAUCAGCCUCGGCUAACUCCGUGCCAGCAGCCGCGGUAAUACGGAGGAGGCAAGCGUUAUCCGGAAUUAUUGGGCGUAAAGC